UGACAAUCAGAGAGGAGGAAUGAGCUCUGGUUUUCUCCUGCACAGUGGGGUGACUGUUUUCCAAUACUGUAUUGCAUAUUUCAAAAUAGCUAGAAGAGAAGAUUUGAAUGUUCUCACCACAAAGAAAUGAUACAUCUGGGGUGACAGCCAUGCGAACUAUCCUGAUUUGAUCAUUUUACAUCAAGGCCACUUUUAUUGGGACCCGAACCAAGCCCCGAGGUUUGAGACCUGGUCGCCGGAAUACCUUGUGCUGGGCAAGUUCCCCGGGGUUCUUCUCAUUCGGUCUCUUCAGUUCCGUCCAAUCCAGAAACUUCUCUUUGAACAAAAUCGUCUCAUUGUGUUCAAUCCAUCUUCGGUUGUGAAUCCGGCCCGGGAUGCAGCCACCCCUUAGAGCAACCCCCCCUGCUGCUCGUGCCCUGCUGUGCUACUGCCUCAGUCACUUCCUGCUUGGUCAAGACCACAGCUGCUGAUGUCACAGCUGAGGCACAUCAAAAAGGCUGCCUGAUUCAAAGAAAGCUGCCGGAUAAAUCAUAGAACACAGACACUUCUACCUCAUGCUCUUAUGGGACUUUAGGAACCAAACAUAAGCACCUAUGGAAAAUGCACGGCGGUCUUGAAAGGCUGUGGUCUUUCAAGAAAAUAUCUGAAUGACUGUCUGUCAGUCCUACUCUGCAGGCUUGCUAAGAUGAUGAUUGAAAGGGCUCUUGGUUUCUGCUUUGGAAUCUGGCAUUUAUGUUUUGAAGCGUUGUGAGCAAGCGAUGUGGCAGAUUGCAGGGUGAGGGGGACAAACCUGGGCCAGGAGCCAGGGGUUUCUCUACCCCCUUCCCUGACUUACAGCUGGAACUGGGCUCAGUGGUUUCAGCCUCUUUUGCUAAGAAGGUCUGGGUAUGUAAUCCUGGCUGCACCUUAAAAUCCCUGGGAGCUUUUAAGACAUAUUGACACAUAAGCUCUAACUCACAUGAAACGAAAACACAUCUCUGGGGCAGGGCUGAGCAAAUGCAUUUUUUAAAAGGCCCCUCAGGUGAUUCUGUCUCAGAGAUGUUGAAAACCAGUGGGUUAGGAGCUCAGUCAUCCACUUUCAGAUCUGUGAUUAUGCCACUAUUAAAUACAGUUGGCUAUCACAUAGAUUUUAUGCUUUAGCUUGUUCUUUUUUCCUUUGCUAUACCAAAUAAAAUCUUUUGAGCUGUAGUUCCAGUCCUUAAAAUAAUGGUUGUUACCAUACUGAGGUUAAACAUUAGUGCAUUUGCUUAACAAGGACUUUAAAACUUAUCACACUGCCAUAAUUUUUAAUGGUUUCUAUAAUGAUUAAUUAAUAAGAAAAUCAAUAAUUGGAUUUUAAGCAGGAAACUAGGCAGGAAAGUUGAAAUUCAUAGACCAAUUCAAUGGAAAACAUUAAAAUGUAUUGGGAGAUGCCCAAUAUUCUAUGCUGUUUGGUGGUUCACUGGUUUCUAAUCUAUUAUAACGGCACCCAUAGUUAAAAAGCACUAGUUUUUUUUUGGUCUGAUAGUUGAAAAAACAACAAUCCUUUGCACGUGGGAAUUCUUUUUUCCAAAAUCAUAAUUUCUGACUUUGCACAUAUUCUAUUGAAUUGCCAAAAUGACUUUAAAGAGUCUAGUACAUGCAGGGAAUAUUACAAUUGCAAUCAUUAUUUUAACACCAUCUCCUCCCCCUCUUCCCUUCCCAAAAGAUAUAAAGACAUAAACAUCAUCUGCUGCCAAAUAAAUCCUGAAAUUCGAGGGCGAUGCUGGGAAGGUAUGAAAUUAGAGGGAGGCAUGUUGCUUUUGCACUUUCAGAUCAAUGGCUGAAUUCCAGACCCGAGGAAGCCUUUCAGAUCCGCAUGUAAUUUGUUUAAACAAUUGCUGUUCAUCUGCCACAGCAGCACUUGGAAUGCCGCAGGGAGGAACUUGCAGCAUUUCUUGCUCACUUCAAGAAAUCAACUAUAACAAACCUCUUCCAGAAGACUACGACAUCCAUAUUUCUGCAAUAGUUAGAUAAAAGUUAAAGAACUGUUCCUUUUGUGAAUAUUCACAGUCCACUGCAUAUAAUCGUUUAUGAAAACUGAACCCUAUAAAGAGCGAGAGUAGAGGACUGUGGUGAGAACAGAGGGAUCGAAGGGAAUCAGCUCGCUUGAAGAGCUGUCCCCGGGCGGCGGCAGGAGUACCUGGGGAUAAGCGGAUUGCAUUCUCCAGGAUCCAGGGGAUUGAUGUCACAGUUCUCAUAGUCAAAGGUUCCAUUCCAUAAGUGCUUUGCCAGCUGAAAUGCUAUUUUUCGUUGUGCUAAUGUGACUUCUUUCCCAUGCCAUACGUAAACUUCACUACCAAAAUCAAACACCAGUACCUGGGAGAAAUGGCACAAAAGAAUUUGUUAACUUCAUGAACAUGCAACAGUUGAAUCAGGUGCAACAGGGUCUCUUGUUGACAGUGAGUCAAACGGAGGAAGACAGAAAUCCUAAUGGGGCGACAAACACAGACACAAAAAGGCCAGGAGAUCUCAGCUGGCACUGCCCCACCAAGCCAGCCUCUGCCCUGCGGGCACGAUUCCUCCUCCCAGUGUCCUAAGUGGCCAGGAUAAUGUUCCCUCCUCUGAACUCUCAACCUGCUUACAACUUGCGAUUCACAAGAGUUCUUUAGGUACAUCUUCCUGUCGACUUCCUGCCUCUCUCCCCUAUUCCUCCCC
rnacentral:lncRNA from 1 species